UACGGGGGGAGCAAGCGUUGUUCGGAUUUACUGGGCGUAAAGGGCGCGUAGGCGGUCAGCACAAGUCAGUUGUGAAAUCUCCGGGCUUAACUCGGAAAGGUCAACUGAUACUGUGCGACUAGAGUGCGGAAGGGGCAACUGGAAUUCUUGGUGUAGCGGUGAAAUGCGUAGAUAUCUGGAGGAACACCGGUGGCGAAGGCGGCAUCCUGGACCGAUACUGACGCUGAGGAGCGAAAGCCAGGGGAGCAAACGGG
rnacentral:rRNA from 1 species